rnacentral:sRNA from 1 species
AUGAUUAUUUGGAUUCACAACUUGCAACCUUUUUUGUUUCGGUUUCUUGCUCUCAAGUCGAGCAGCAGGUAGGGGUGUGAUUGAGACUCUGUGCCUACCAACCAUACAAGAAGGCAUUUUUAGUUAGCUAGGAUUUUCAUCUGAUCAGGGAACUAAUGCUUUUUUUGAGAGAGAGGGAACUAAUGCUUGACUAGUAAAACCUUUCUUCUACUAACUCUGUCUUAAAAUAUAGCAAAUUAGACAUAACAUGUAACACGAAUCUGUACAAGCUCCUUAUUCGUCGUAGAAUUUUGAAUCUGUACAAGCUCCUUAUUCGUCGCAUAAUUUUUCACGAUCUCGCAGAUAUAUGUAUUUUUUUAUCAUGAUUUACGCUAAGAAAUGGUAAUGAUGAAAAACUGUAACAUGGCGAAAAUAUUUUUAGGGACAAAUAUGUAAUGACAAUAAAAUUAAAUACUAGUUCUAAAUAUUUGUAAUCAG